UCCCUGGUAGUCAAGUGGUUAAGACUCAGAGCUCCCAAGGCAGGGGGCUCGGGUUCGAUCCCUGAUCCGGGAA
rnacentral:tRNA from 1 species